UAAUAAAAUCUACAUUUUCCAUGGCCUAUAUAAAAUACUCAAUCAUAUGUUAUUUAUCCUCCCAUCUGUUCUUUAAUUAAACUCAGUCUUUUUGAUUGGUGCAACAAAUGCAUGGCCACAACAGCAAGAAGCACUUUUGAUGAGAGCAUCCAAUGUAUGGCCACAACAGAACCUGAACAAACAACAAAUAAUUAGAGAGCCUUGUCGUCCACCACCUCCAUACCUAGAGCCUCUUUAGAUUCUGCUGCCAGCAUUGUAGUGAUUUUUGUACUAUGUUGUAGAAGAUGGCACGUGCAUCUAGAUUCCAAUUGAGCGUGGUGAUCAAGCUCGAGCCGUUAAUAAAAAAACAUGAUCAUGCGGUCUUGAUUUUACAUAUAGUAGACAUAAAAUCUGAAAGAUAAAACUUUCAAUCUGUGUAAUGAUUAAGCCGAAGUGAUGAUUAGGGGAGAUUAGGGCUGUGCAUUAUGUAUAUAAUAAAUGCAUGUAUGGUACUAAGAGUCCUUAAAACAACACUUGCAGCAACCAAAGUAGACACAAGAAGUGCAUUCUGCAUUUUGGAUCUCUUGUAUACC
rnacentral:lncRNA from 1 species